rnacentral:rRNA from 1 species
CCUACGGGAGGCUGCAGUGGGGAAUAUUGCACAAUGGGCGCAAGCCUGAUGCAGCCAUGCCGCGUGUGUGAAGAAGGCCUUCGGGUUGUAAAGCACUUUCAGCGGGGAGGAAGGCGGUGAGGUUAAUAACCUCAUCGAUUGACGUUACCAGCAGAAGAAGCACCGGCUAACUCCGUGCCAGCAGCCGCGGUAAUACGGAGGGUGCAAGCGUUAAUCGGAAUUACUGGGCGUAAAGCGCACGCAGGCGGUCUGUCAAGUCGGAUGUGAAAGCCCCGGGCUCAACCUGGGAACUGCAUUCGAAACUGGCAGGCUAGAGUCUUGUAGAGGGGGGUAGAAUUCCAGGUGUAGCGGUGAAAUGCGUAGAGAUCUGGAGGAAUACCGGUGGCGAAGGCGGCCCCCUGGACAAAGACUGACGCUCAGGUGCGAAAGCGUGGGGAGCAAACAGGAUUAGAUACCCUAGUAGUC